GUCGGGAAUUUUGGGCAAUGGGCGAAAGCCUGACCCAGCAACGCCGCGUGAAGGAUGAAAUCCCUCGGGAUGUAAACUUCGCAAGAAUGGGAAGAAUGAACGAGCGCUAAUACCGUUCGUGAUGACGGUACCAUUUGUAAGCUCCGGCUAACUCCGUGCCAGCAGCCGCGGUAAUACGGGGGGAGCAAGCGUUGUUCGGAUUUACUGGGCGUAAAGGGCGCGUAGGCGGCCAGCGCAAGUCAGUUGUGAAAUCUCCGGGCUUAACUCGGAAAGGUCAACUGAUACUGCGCGGCUAGAGUGCGGAAGGGGCAACUGGAAUUCUCGGUGUAGCGGUGAAAUGCGUAGAUAUCGAGAGGAACACCUGCGGCGAAGGCGGGUUGCUGGGCCGACACUGACGCUGAGGCGCGAAAGCCAGGGGAGCGAACGGGAUUAGAUACCCGUGUAGUCC
rnacentral:rRNA from 1 species